GGCAGGCUAGCGUAAUGGUUAACGCGCUAGUUUCCGGUGAGGACCAGCUAGAGAUUCUGGGUUCGAGUCCCAGGCUUGUCG
rnacentral:tRNA from 1 species